rnacentral:rRNA from 1 species
UGGCUCAGGAUGAACGCUAGCGGCAGGCUUAAUACAUGCAAGUCGAGGGGGCAGCAAUGUCACCGGCGAACGGGUGCGUAACGCGUAUGCAACCUACCUACAUCAGGGGGAUAGCCCUAGGAAACUGGGAUUAACACCGCAUAACAAUAGAGUUGGCAUCAACUUUAUUUGAAAUAUUUAUAGGAUGUAGAUGGGCAUGCGUAGGAUUAGCUAGUUGGUAAGGUAACGGCUUACCAAGGCUACGAUCCUUAGGGGCUCUGAGAGGAGUAUCCCCCACACUGGCACUGAGAUACGGGCCAGACUCCUACGGGAGGCAGCAGUAGGGAAUAUUGGGCAAUGGAGGCAACUCUGACCCAGCCAUGCCGCGUGCAGGAAGACGGUCCUCUGGAUUGUAAACUGCUUUUGAAUGGGAAGAAUGUGCUUCUUGCGAGAGGUAAUGACGGUACCAUUAGAAUAAGCCACGGCUAACUACGUGCCAGCAGCCGCGGUAAUACGUAGGUGGCGAGCGUUAUCCGGAUUUAUUGGGUUUAAAGGGUGCGUAGGCGGCUUAAUGAGUCGGUGGUUAAAAGUAGCAGCUUAACUGUUUUACAUGCCAUCGAUACUGUUGAGCUUGAG